CCUACGGGAGGCAGCAGUGAGGAAUAUUGGUCAAUGGCCGCAGGGCUGAACCAGCCAAGUCGCGUGAGGGAUGACGGUCCUAUGGAUUGUAAACCUCUUUUGUCAGGGAGCAAAGGGCGCCACGUGUGGCGUUUUGCGAGUACCUUAAGAAUAAGCAUCGGCUAACUCCGUGCCAGCAGCCGCGGUAAUACGGAGGAUGCGAGCGUUAUCCGGAUUUAUUGGGUUUAAAGGGUGCGUAGGCGGAAUUUCAAGUCAGCGGUAAAAUUUCGGGGCUCAACCCCGUCGUGCCGUUGAAACUGGCGGUCUUGAGUGAGCGAGAGGUAUGCGGAAUGCGUGGUGUAGCGGUGAAAUGCAUAGAUAUCACGCAGAACUCCGAUUGCGAAGGCAGCAUACCGGCGCUCAACUGACGCUGAUGCACGAAAGCGUGGGUAUCGAACAGGAUUAGAUACCCCGGUAGUC
rnacentral:rRNA from 1 species